UACGUAGGGGGCAAGCGUUGUCCGGAUUUAUUGGGCGUAAAGAGCUCGUAGGCGGUCUGUCACGUCGGCUGUGAAAACCCGAGGCUCAACCUCGGGCCUGCAGUCGAUACGGGCAAACUAGAGUACUGCAGGGGAGACUGGAAUUCCUGGUGUAGCGGUGAAAUGCGCAGAUAUCAGGAGGAACACCGGUGGCGAAGGCGGGUCUCUGGGCAGUAACUGACGCUGAGGAGCGAAAGCGUGGGGAGCGAACAGG
rnacentral:rRNA from 1 species